AUAACGAGUCAGACUUUAUUUGAGAUGGUGUGUGAUGAGAUUGGUUUGCUGCUUAGUCAAAAGUACAGUAAUACUGUGAUUGUGCCGUGUCAGAAUAACUGUAACGAGCGUCUGAUUAGUAAAUGCUGCUCAUGUUUUUGUUGAACUCUUAAUUACAAAGAUAGAAGCUUUAGAUGCUCUCAAAAAACAAGGUUUUUGUUCUUUAGUAGUGUAAUGCAUUUAUGACAUUUUUUGCUCUUUAAAUCAACAACAAAGCUGCACAUGCAUCCAUUCUGAAUCUCUUGCAGUAAUUUUGACACGAGCUGAACGCGGUGUGAUUUAACACUAAUGUGAGGAAUAUAAACUCUCUUCUCUCAUAAAAGCUAUUGACUGUUAUAUUUACACCAAAAUAAACCCAUUACUCCUCACAGACGGUCACAUAAUACUCAGUAACGUAUAGAAGUGUACCAUGUAGAAGCCACUGUGAAUAGACCAAAGCCGUGCUUGUAUCUUGUGGGUGAUUGUGGCGGUAUUGUAAUUUUUUAAUUAAAUAACAGUAUUUGUAUGAAGCCAAUACAUUGUAUAUUUUUCGUGCUGUAUAUUUAAUGUUCCUAUGAGCGGUUUGUAAUUAAACACCUGCAGUGACUCACA